rnacentral:rRNA from 1 species
GACGAACGCUGGCGGCGUGCUUAACACAUGCAAGUCGAACGGAAAGGCCCUGCUUUUGUGGUGUGCUCGAGUGGCGAACGGGUGAGUAACACGUGAGUAACCUGCCCUUGACUUUGGGAUAACUUCAGGAAACUUGGGCUAAUACCUGAUAGGAGCUCCUGCUGCAUGGUGGGGGUUGGAAAGUUUCGGCGGUUGGGGAUGGACUCGCGGCUUAUCAGCUUGUUGGUGGGGUAGUGGCUUACCAAGGCUUUGACGGGUAGCCGGCCUGAGAGGGUGACCGGCCACAUUGGGACUGAGAUACGGCCCAGACUCCUACGGGAGGCAGCAGUGGGGAAUAUUGCACAAUGGGCGGAAGACUGAUGCAGCAACGCCGCGUGCGGGAUGACGGCCUUCGGGUUGUAAACCGCUUUCGCCUGUGACGAAGCGUGAGUGACGGUAAUGGGUAAAGAAGCACCGGCUAACUACGUG